UGGGGAAUUUUGGACAAUGGGCGAAAGCCUGAUCCAGCAAUGCCGCGUGUGUGAAGAAGGCCUUCGGGUUGUAAAGCACUUUUGUCCGGAAAGAAGUGGCUCUGGUUAAUACCUGGGGUCGAUGACGGUACCGGAAGAAUAAGGACCGGCUAACUACGUGCCAGCAGCCGCGGUAAUACGUAGGGUCCAAGCGUUAAUCGGAAUUACUGGGCGUAAAGCGUGCGCAGGCGGUUGUGCAAGACCGCUGUGAAAUCCCCGAGCUUAACUUGGGAAUUGCAUUGGUGACUGGACGGCUAGAUUGUGUCAGGGGGGGGUAGAAUUCCACGUGUAGCAGUGAAAUGCGUAGAGAUGUGGAGGAAUACCGAUGGCGAAGGCAUCCCCCUGGGAUAACACUGACGCUCAUGCACGAAAGCGUGGGGAGCAAACAGG
rnacentral:rRNA from 1 species